rnacentral:rRNA from 1 species
UACGGAAGGCAGCAGUGGGGAAUAUUGCACAAUGGGCGAAAGCCUGAUGCAGCUAUGCCGCGUGUAUGAAGAAGGCCUUAGGGUUGUAAAGUACUUUCAUCGGGGAGGAAAAACAAAACUAAUAAUUUUAUUUCUUGACGUUACCCGAAAAAGAAGCACCGGCUAACUCCGUGCCAGCAGCCGCGGUAAUACGGAAGGUGCUAGCGUUAAUCAGAAUUACUGGGCGUAAAGAGCACGUAGGUGGUUUUUUUAAGUCAGAUGUGAAAUCCCUGGGCUUAACCUGGAACUGCAUUUUGAAACUGAAAUACUAGAGUAUCGUAGAGGGAGGUAGAAUUCUAGGUGUAGCGGUGAAAUGCGUAGAUAUCUGGAGGAAUACCUGUGGCGAAAGCGGCCUCCUAAACGAAUACUGACACUGAGGUGCGAAAGCGUGGGGAGCAAACAGGGAUUAGAUACC